GCUGGCGUAGCUCAAUGGUAGAGCACCUGAUUUGUAAUCAGGCGGCUGCGGGUUCAAGUCCCAUCGCCAGCU
rnacentral:tRNA from 3 species